UCAAGCUACAAAGAGCACAAGGGGAAUGCCUUGGCACCGAGAGCCGAAGAAGGACGUGACUAACUGCGAUAAGCUGCGGGGAGCCGUAAGUAGGCUUUGAUCCGCAGAUUUCCGAAUGGAGCAAUCCGGCAAGAGGAAAGUCUUGUCAUCAUAUACUGAAUACAUAGGUAUAUGAGGGGAACCGCCUGAACUGAAACAUCUAAGUAGGGCGAGGAAGAGAAAUCAACUGAGAUUCCGUAAGUAGUGGCGAGCGAACGCGGAAGAGGCCAAACCGAGAGUAGUAAUACUUUCGGGGUUCGGACAGAAUACGGUAUUGUAAAGGUUUAGUGGAAUGGAAUGGGAAGUCCAACCGAAGAAGGUGAGAGUCCUGUACACGAAAAGCCUGAACAGCCAUCUGUAUCCAGAGUACCGCCGGACACGUGAAACCCGGUGGGAAUAAGGGGGGACCAUCCUCCAAGCCUAAAUACUACUCGGUGACCGAUAGUGAAGAAGUACUGUGAAGGAAAGGUGAAAAGUACCCCUGACGGGGAGUGAAAAAGAACCUGAAACCUUGUGUUUACAAGCACCGAAAGCUCAUCAAAGAGCGAUCGGGUACCUUUUGUAGAAUGGUCCGGCGAGUGAAUGUAACCGGCGAGGUUAAGCACUUAAGGUGUGAAGCCGCAGCGAGAGCAAGUCUGAAUAGGGCGUAUGAAGUCGGUUGUAUUCGACCCGAAACCGGGUGACCUACCCAUGGUCAGGUUGAAGUAAAGGUAAAACUUUAUGGAGGACCGAACCGACUCCCGUUGAAAUGGUAGCGGAUGAACUGUGGGUAGCGGAGAAAUUCCAAUCGAACCCGGAGAUAGCUGGUUCUCUCCGAAAUAGCUUUAGGGCUAGCCUUGAAAUAGAUUACCGGAGGUAAAGCACUGAAUUGGCUAGGGGCCGAGAGGUUACUGAACCUUAUCAAACUAAGAAUGCCGGAUAAUCGUUUUUCAGGAGUCAGACAGUGGGAGAUAAGUUUCAUUGUCAAAAGGGAAACAGCCCAGACCCACAGCUAAGGUCCCCAAGUAUAGUUAAGUGGAAAAGGAUGUGGAAUUGCACAGACAACCAGGAUGUUGGCUUAGAAGCAGCCACUCAUUAAAAGAGUGCGUAAUAGCUCACUGGUCGAGUGACUCUGCGCCGAAAAUUUAACGGGGCUAAACUAUACACCGAAGCUUGGGAUACAUCUAAUGUAUGGUAGGAGAGCGUUCUGUAUGGAGAGAAGUCGUAGCGAAAGCGGCGGUGGACUAUACAGAAGUGAGAAUGCCGGAAUAAGUAGCGAGAAUUAAGUGAGAAUCUUAAUGGCCGAAAGUCUAAGGUUUUUGGAGGAAGGUUCGUCCGCUCCAAGUAAGUCGGGAGCUAAGGUCAGGCCGAAAGGCGUAGCCGAUGCACAUACGGUUGAUAUUCCGUAACCAUCUGUAAUUUAAGCAAAGGGACACUUCAAAAGGGUGUGACCCGGGCGUUGGUUGACCCGGGCGUAAGGGACCGAAAUUAGAGUAGGGAAGCACACUUAGCUGAAGGCGAGAAAAGCUUUGCGUAUAGAAGCAGAUGCCCGUACCGCAAACCGACACAGGUGGACAGGAAGAGAAUUCUAAGGCCAGCGGGAGAAGGGUAGUUAAGGAACUCGGCAAAUUGACUCCGUAACUUCGGAAUAAGGAGUGCUCGAAAGAGCCGCAGAGAAUAGGCCCAGGCGACUGUUUAGCAAAAACACAGGUCUCUGCCAAAUCGAAAGAUGAAGUAUAGGGGCUGACACCUGCCCGGUGCCGGAAGGUUAAGAGGAGGAGUGAGAGCUCCGAAUUGAAGCCCCGGUAAACGGCGGCCGUAACUAUAACGGUCCUAAGGUAGCGAAAUUCCUUGUCGGGU
rnacentral:rRNA from 1 species